ensembl:snRNA U6 U6 spliceosomal RNA
GUGCUCGCUUGGGUAGCACACAUGCUAAAACUGGAACAGUACAGAGAUUAGCAUGGCCCCUGCGCAAGGAGGACACGCAAAUUCGUGAAGCAUUCCAUAUUUUU